GAUGAACGCUGGCGGCGUGCUUAACACAUGCAAGUCGAACGAAGCACCUCUCCCGAAGAUUGACACAGCUUGCUGUAGAUUGAUUCAUUUGAGGUGACUGAGUGGCGGACGGGUGAGUAACGCGUGGGUAACCUGCCUCAUAGAGGGGGACAACAGUUGGAAACGACUGCUAAUACCGCAUAGUAAGAAGAAUUCGCAUGUUUUCUUCUUGAAAGAUUUAUCGCUAUCAGAUGGACCCGCGUCUGAUUAGCUAGUUGGUAAGGUAACGGCUUACCAAGGCGACGAUCAGUAGCCGGCUUGAGAGAGUGAACGGCCACAUUGGGACUGAGACACGGCCCAAACUCCUACGGGAGGCAGCAGUGGGGAAUAUUGCACAAUGGGGGAAACCCUGAUGCAGCGACGCCGCGUGAGUGAAGAAGUAUUUCGGUAUGUAAAGCUCUAUCAGCAGGGAAGAUAAUGACGGUACCUGACGAAGAAGCCCCGGCUAACUACGUG
rnacentral:rRNA from 1 species